UGGGGAAUUUUGGACAAUGGGCGAAAGCCUGAUCCAGCAAUGCCGCGUGUGUGAAGAAGGCCUUCGGGUUGUAAAGCACUUUUGUCCGGAAAGAAAUCCUUGGCUCUAAUACAGUCGGGGGAUGACGGUACCGGAAGAAUAAGCACCGGCUAACUACGUGCCAGCAGCCGCGGUAAUACGUAGGGUGCAAGCGUUAAUCGGAAUUACUGGGCGUAAAGCGUGCGCAGGCGGUUUGCUAAGACCGAUGUGAAAUCCCCGGGCUCAACCUGGGAACUGCAUUGGUGACUGGCAGGCUAGAGUAUGGCAGAGGGGGGUAGAAUUCCACGUGUAGCAGUGAAAUGCGUAGAGAUGUGGAGGAAUACCGAUGGCGAAGGCAGCCCCCUGGGCCAAUACUGACGCUCAUGCACGAAAAGCGUGGGGAGCAAACAGGAUUAGAUACCCUGGUAGUCCACGCCCUAAACGAUGUCAACUAGUUGUUGGGGAUUCAUUUCCUUAGUAACGUAGCUAACGCGUGAAGUUGACCGCCUGGGGAGUACGGUCGCAAGAUUAAAACUCAAAUGAAUUGACGGGGUCAUAGCUGUUUCC
rnacentral:rRNA from 1 species